UACGGGUGUCAGUGUCGUUCACGGACGUGACUGUGGAGUUCACCGGGAGGAGUGGCGGCAGGUGGACUCUGCACAGAGGACCCUGUACAGAGACGUGACGAUGCUGGAGAGCUACAGCCACCUCGUCUC